CUGUAUUUAUAGAGUGUCAAUCCUGACUUAUCUUCAUCGCACUAGGCAGUAAUUUUCUAGGAACAAAGAAAAAAACUGCAGAAGCCUGGAUUUGGAGCUAGUGACCAAGGAGGAAAUAGAAAACCCAGUAACAAAGGAAUCAGAAUUUCAUAGUCAUUGGAACUGGAGAAUCUGGCAUCUGGAUACCGGAGGGAGCACAGUUGGGAUCAAGGAUUCACCACCCAAGUCGUCAUGCAGAGAGCAGGAUGCUAAACUCAAAAAGAAACUCCUCUUGUUCUCUGCACAUGCUUCUCAAAGGAAAGGACUUUCCUGCAUUGAGUUUUAUAUAAAGGUAAUUUUCUCUAAAAAUUUAAAGUUUUGCUUUUCGCACUAACUUGUCUGGUCCCAUUCGUCCACAUAAGGUUUGAAUUUCAAGUUAUGCUAUGAGUUGGAAACGCCCUUUGCUUUCUUAUCAUGGAAAUAAUUUUCCCAUCACUUUACUGAAUAAUCAUUUAAUUGUCUACUACCUUGAAAUACAAGAACUUUUAUAUAUAAAAUGCAGAUAUAAAAGUUGUUCUAUUUCCUAGUUUUCUAUUUUGUUCAAUUAGUCUAAUUGUCAGUUCAAGAGCCAAUACUACAGUGUCUAAACUAUUGAGUGUUUCAGAUACUCUUGCUAUAAAACGAAUCACCUAACAUUAAGUGGUUUAAAACACUAUCGUUUAAUUAUUUCAGAUGCUUCUGUGGGUCUUAUGAGGAAUUUGUUAGCAGCAGCUCAGCUGGAUACUUUUAGCUUAGGGUGUCUCAUGAGGUUGCAGUCAGAUAUUGGUUGGUGCUAAAGUCAUAUAAAACAUUUCUUCAGCCACAUGUCUAGUAUGUAGGCCUGAAAGUCUUGAACAGUGAGGGCUAAAGCAAUUGGUGCUUCUUGGGCAUCUUCCCCUUUUUGUAUGUAAUUUUCCCGUAUGACCUCUCAAGCAUGCUGAAUUCAGGGUAAUGGGAGCAUUUCCAUGGUAGUUCAGAGUUCUAAAAAGCUGGUGUCUCUAGAGAGUGAACCAGCCAGAAGCUGUGGCGUUUCUUUGACCUAAACUUAGAAGUCACUUAGAAUGACUCUGUCAUAUUUCAUUAAUCAAGAUACUCAUAAAGUCCCUCCUAAAUGAAAACAGAGAGGACAGACUCCACCUCUUGGUUGGGAAAUGGCAAUGCCUGGAAAAGCAUAUGCAACAGGACAUACUGUUGUAGAAACACAAUCUGUUACAGUCUGCCCCUGCUAGAAAACACACAUCCUCCCAUAAGCAUUGUACAUUCAACUUCCUUUUUUCUGGGCCCCUUUCCCAAGUCUCAUUCACAUACAGCAUCAGGCUCAGGUUCAAGGUCCAGGACCUCAUCAUCUAAAUCAUGUCCAGCUGUGGUUUUAGUGGCUCCUGUGGUGUGGUUCCUCUUGUGGUGCAGUUCCUUGAGUAUUAUAUCUUUUGACUGAAAUUUUCAAUUGGAAGACCUUUGAACUGAAGUCAGAGGUUAUCUGCCCCUUCUCUUCUCACUGGUGUGACACAUAUGACAUAACUCAUAUAGAUAUUUACAUUCAGGAAGGAGAGAAAAAAAGUAAUAUAGUGGCUGUUCCACAGCAGUUCUGAAACUCAUCUAGGUACAUGUCUUUUCAGUUCUUUGAUUAUUGUCCAGCCUACUUAUGGCAGUGAUAUUACAUGACUCUUAUUUCUUCUCUUGGGCUUUGAAUUCUGUCUUUGAGCUAUCUAUUCUUUUCCAUAAUA